GACGAACGCUGGCGGCGUGCUUAACACAUGCAAGUCGAGCGGUAAGGCUCCUUCGGGAGUACACGAGCGGCGAACGGGUGAGUAACACGUGAGCAAUCUGCCCUUCACAUCGGAAUAACCCUGGGAAACCGGGACUAAUACCGGAUACGAUUUCCAGUGGCAUCAUUGGAAAUGGAAAGCUCCGGCGGUGAAGGAUGAGCUCGCGGCCUAUCAGCUAGUUGGUGAGGUAAUGGCUCACCAAGGCACCGACGGGUAGCCGGCCUGAGAGGGUGACCGGCCACACUGGGACUGAGACACGGCCCAGACUCCUACGGGAGGCAGCAGUGGGGAAUAUUGGACAAUGGGCGAAAGCCUGAUCCAGCAACGCCGCGUGAGGGAUGACGGCCU
rnacentral:rRNA from 1 species